AUUGAACGCUGGCGGCAUGCCUUACACAUGCAAGUCGAACGGUAGCAGGUUAAGCUGACGAGUGGCGAACGGGUGAGUAAUAUAUCGGAACGUGCCCAGUCGUGGGGGAUAACUGCUCGAAAGAGCAGCUAAUACCGCAUACGACCUGAGGGUGAAAGCGGGGGAUCGCAAGACCUCGCGCGAUUGGAGCGGCCGAUAUCAGAUUAGGUAGUUGGUGGGGUAAAGGCCUACCAAGCCUACGAUCUGUAGCUGGUCUGAGAGGACGACCAGCCACACUGGGACUGAGACACGGCCCAGACUCCUACGGGAGGCAGCAGUGGGGAAUUUUGGACAAUGGACGCAAGUCUGAUCCAGCCAUGCCGCGUGCGGGAAGAAGGCCUUCGGGUUGUAAACCGCUUUUGUCAGGGAAGAAAAGGUUCUGGUUAAUACCUGGGACUCAUGGCGGUACCUGAAGGAUAAGCACCGGCUAACUACGUGCCAGCCGCCGCAGUAAAAC
rnacentral:rRNA from 1 species